AUUGCACGCUGGCGGCAGGCUUAACACAUGCAAGUCGAACGGAUUGGCGGACGGGUGAGUAAUGCCUAGGAAUCUGCCUGGUAGUGGGGGAUAACGUCCGGAAACGGGCGCUAAUACCGCAUACUAUCAGAUGAGCCUAGGUCGGAUUAGCUAGUUGGGGGGGUAACGGCCUACCAAGGCGACGAUCCGUAACUGGUCUGAGAGGAUGAUCAGUAACACUGGAACUGAGACACGGUCCAGAGUCCUACGGGAGGCAGCAGUGGGGAAUAUUGGACAAUGGGCGAAAGCCUGAUCCAGCCAUGCCGCGUGUGUGAAGAAGGUUUUCGGAUUGUAAAGCACUUUAAGUUGGGAGGCGUUACCAACAGAAUAAGCACCGGCUAACUUCGUGCCAGCAGCCGCGGUAAUUC
rnacentral:rRNA from 1 species